ensembl:processed_transcript 4932412D23Rik RIKEN cDNA 4932412D23 gene
UUUGGACAGCCCUCGUGAGGUUGCCGCCCAUAAACAAAAUGCACUCUUCCUCCUCCCCUCCGCGGCUCCUCCCCUAACUGCCCCUUCUCUCAUCUCUGUCAUCUUUGAUUGGCCUAGGAGACACCCAAUCCGCUAUCUCAAGCAUCAACUGGUGGAUCGUGUGAAUGCCCAGGAACACUGUAAUAAAAGUGUGACAAUGGAAACAGAAGAUGUGAAUACAACCGAGGCAGACUCUUCAUCAAUGAAAGCAGCUACAGAGUCAAUAAAUUACCAGUGGGGAGCCCUCGGGUAUCAUCAGUAUAUCAAAUCUGCAUGUCUUAAAGAGAUAAAAGAAAUAAAGCAAGCCUAUCAGCUACUAGAGUAGAACUUUGAAUAUUAACUCUGAACUUUUUUUGAAAGAAGGGUCAUGUAAUGUGCAGCAAGGUGCUUAUAAUGAUUUCACAGUCUGUCACCCUCUACCCAUACCUGUACCCACACUUUUUGCCAUCAUAAGCUUUGAUGAGAAUUAAUAGACUCUGCAGCUGUCUUCAUGGAGACUUGAGGGAGAAUGGUCAAUGAUUGGUCCAGACACAGUCCUUUAUCUUCAUGAAGGACUGAUAGAUUGGUGCAGACACUCUCGCCAUAUCUUCCUUCUGUCUGAACAGACAGAACCCUUCUGUGCUGUCCCCUGAUGCUACAACAUUAGGCCCUGAUUAAAGACAUUUUUUGAGUUGUC